CUUUGAGUGGCAUAGUAGUUUGAGUGCAGGACUACGACGCUGGAGACCAGGGUUCGAUUCCCAGCUUGGCCA